rnacentral:rRNA from 1 species
ACCGAAGUAAUGAUUGAUAGGGAUGGUUGGGGGCAUCGGUAUUCUAAAGCGAGAGGUGAAAUUCAGUGACCUUUGGAAGACCAACUACUGCGAAAGCAUUUGCCAAGGACAUACCCUUUGAUCAAGAACGAAAGUUGGGGGAUCGAAGACGAUCAGAUACCGUCGUAGUCUCAACCAUAAACUAUGCCAUCUGAGGAUUAGCGGACGUUGUUUACGACUCCACUAGCACUCUGUGGGAAACCUAAGAAUUUCGGCUCCGGGGGGAGUAUGUUCGCAAGAAUGAAACUUAAAGGUAUUGACGGAAGGGCACCACCAGGAGUGGAGCCUGUGGUUUAAUUUGACUCAACACGGGAAAACUUACCAGGUCCGGACUCAACAAGGAUUGACAGACUGAUAGAUCUUUCAUGAUUUUGAGGGUGGUGGUGCAUGGCCGUUCUUAGUUGGUGGAGUGAUUUGUCUGGUUUAUUCCGUUAACGAACGAGACCUCAGCCUGCUAAAUAGUUCGUGCUGCCCUUGGCAGUCGCGAGCUUCUUAGAGGGACUAUUCUGUGUCUAACGAAAGGAAGCUUGAGGCAAUAACAGGUCUGUGAUGCCCUUAGAUGUUCUGGGCCACACACGGGCUACACUGGUACGUUCAACAAGCUUCAUACCCUUGGUCGAAAGGCCCGGGCAAUCUUAUGAAAGCGUACCGUGAUUGGGAUCGACUGUUGCAAUUGUCAGUCGUGAACGAGGAAUUCCUAGUAAGCGCAAGUCAUCAACUUGCACUGAUUACGUCCCUGCCCUUUGUACACACCGCCCGUCGCUCCUACCGAUUGAACGAUGCGAUGAAAUUUUCGGAGGGUUUCUUUGAACCGGGUUCGCCUGGUGAAAAGAGUACUCGAAGUCACUUAAAUCUCAUCGUUUAGAGGAAGGAGAAGUCGUAACAAGGUUUUCGUAGGUGAACCUGCAGAAGGAUCA